rnacentral:rRNA from 1 species
UACAGAGGGUGCAAGCGUUGUUCGGAAUUAUUGGGCGUAAAGCGCGUGUAGGCGGCUUUGCAAGUCGGGUGUGAAAGCCCUCGGCUUAACUGAGGAAGUGCAUCCGAAACUGAAUAGCUAGAGUACGAAAGAGGGUCGCGGAAUUCCCGGUGUAGAGGUGAAAUUCGUAGAUAUCGGGAGGAACACCGGUGGCGAAGGCGGGUCUCUGGGCCGAUACUGACGCUGAGGAGCGAAAGCGUGGGGAGCGAACAGG